rnacentral:lncRNA from 1 species
UGUGGCCCGACUCGGUUAGGCGCGACCAGGGCGACCGACGCAGCCACGCGCGGCGCGGCCGGCGAUGCGGCUAACGCGGCAGCCAGGGCGAAGCGCGGCCGUCGACCGACGCUGCGGGCGCGGUCGACGCUGUUUGGGCGACCAGCAGAUCGGGCACGGCUGAGCGCGUUGGGCACGCCGUGGUCAUGGCUAGCACGGCCAUGGUGACGACGGUGGUACUGUAGCAGCUUGGAAAAAACAGAUCGUGCGUCAGCGGGACGUGACGGCGUGUGCACAUCUGGUACAUCACGGCGGUGUCGUGCUUAUCUGAAGUACGUGUAAUCACCGUCUUCCUAGGAUGUAGUCAACAAAUCUCUCUUGAUCCAAGAACAUCGACAUUGGUCGGCGACGUGUUCGUCAGCCAGUUCUUGGGAGAGAAAUCCACGUCGUAGGUAAAUUAAAUCCGAAAAAUAAACUAAGCGCAAAAACGAAAUCGUGAUAGCGAGAUGAAUCCAUUUUUGUAAAGAGAGGGAUUGGAUCUUGUACCUCCGUGCGAUCGACGAGAGCCUGCUUGGUGCAGGCUUGACACACGCUCGAUGGAGAGUUGAUGGAGCGUGCUAAUAACGUG